UACAGAGGGGGCAAGCGUUGUUCGGAAUUAUUGGGCGUAAAGAGCUCGUAGGCGGCCUGUUGCGUCCGCUGUGAAAGCCCGGGGCUUAACCCCGGGUCUGCAGUGGAUACGGGCAGGCUAGAGGUAGGCAGGGGAGACUGGAAUUCCUGGUGUAGCGGUGAAAUGCGCAGAUAUCGGGAGGAACACCGGUGGCGAAGGCGGUUCUCUGGGCCUUACCUGACGCUGAGGAGCGAAAGCGUGGGGAGCGAACAGG
rnacentral:rRNA from 1 species